rnacentral:lncRNA from 1 species
UACAUUGAGGUUUACGUUGACCUCUACAUACACAUAAUAUUUGUAUCCAGUAUACGUAGACCAUUCGUAUAGGAAGAUUACAUAGCCUCUUAUUUUAUUGCACAUUGAUUUAUAAAAUAUUACAUUGUCUUAAUUGGUUGUCUCAUCUCCUAAACCAUCUAAACACCAUUAUAUGAAUCUGGGAUAUCCCAUACAUAAAACUAAUAAGGCCACGUGGGAUAUAUAAUGUUUAGUAUUCAGAUUAAAAGAAAAGAACAUAAGUCUUAAAUAUAAAACAACUUCAUUAGCUUGAUAUUAACAUUCCCCUCGAAAAGUGAGGACAUGUGACACUUUAAUGAGUGAUAAUUAGAAGUCUUCCUUCAAAGUCAUCUCAAAAUCUCUUCAAUGAACAGAAUACAAAACAUUGGUGAAAAGAGAGAAAAUGGGGUAAGUACUUCACUUAUACUAAGUAAAAGACCGUACGGACAUACAUCAUAAUAUAAAGCUAAGAAGGGGACAAUUCAUUAGGGUAUGCAAUUUACUUUGAAAAGCCUUAUGCACAUUCAAGAAGACCAUAUCAAUCAAUAAGGCAUAUUCGUCACGUCAAAAUCGUGUAAAUCACAAGACUAACAAUAUUAUAUCUAGUCAAGUCAAGAUGCAUAUCACAUAAUUUAAGACACAGUCUAAGGAAAUUUAUCAUCAAGUUAUAGUAACAAUAACGAUGGAUAAGAUUUCAUUACAACACUAAAAAGCAAGGCAAUUACCCAUGAACCCUUAUUAAGUGAACUAGUGAAAUGAACAAGCAAAGCCCCAUAACCUUACCCAAUCAACGAAACCCAACAAGAAUCAUGACCAACAUCAAACUUAACUUAACUUGACAUUUAACAUUUGUAUCAAAAUACAUUGGCAUUAGAGACGAAACACCUAUUCAUAAGGGAAACAAAUAAACAUAUAAUAUCAUCAAUGCAUAAGAUCAUCAUAUACAUAUCAUCUACAAUUGUAUGCAUAUACAUACAUACGAAUAUCCUCUUGAGGUUUCGCUCAAGAAAAACUAGUGCAGGCAUAGGAAGUGUCCUACACCCCUACUUAAUCAAAGUCAAACCUCUCAAAGUACAAUAUUUGGUUUGUACUUCAUUACUUAAUUUUAUUUAAGGGAAUACUUGCCUUAACAAAUAUAUACCACAAGAUCUAAUUGUGAAAUCAGUGUUGUAAAACCUCACACCGAUGGGAGGUAUUCUACCAUCCAAAGUAUAACCAAACACAAACGUACCUUUCUAGGUGGAUCCACUAGCUAGUCUUUCUGUGGGGGAAACAUAGUUCAAGAAUACGAGAUAGGUCUGUACAUGCCACUUGAAAAUUGGAGCCUCAUCUCAUUGGAAUACAUAGGAUGAGUGUCCCUCAUCUCAUGUUGUAUUAUAGGGUGAAUCUUACUCUAUGGAAAGUCAAUACCUCACAUUUUCAGGUUCACUCGGUGCUAAGCUAAGACCCUUUUUGAAAUUUCAUUAAUACCUUUAUUAUCAUCAAAGCUUAAUCUAUAUAAUAGGGUAUAUCCCUUGUAUAAUCAUUAUAUUCAUAGCUCAAUAAGAAUUCCAUGAGUAUAGUCAUUUCAUUACAAUUCAUACAAGUGUAGUUAGCAAAUUUACAUAGUCAUAUCGUAUUAAUGCACAUGGUUAGUUAUCACCGUCCUUAUAACAUUUACAUCUUAGCCACCACCUCACAAACAAUAGUCAAGAUAUUUCAAUUCAACAUCAUAAAAAAACAAUAAAUCUUAUUACAAGGUAUACUUCAACUUAACUAUCACACCCGGAUUCAGGAAUCCGGAUGCAACCGACGUCGUUAACCACUAAGAGGUCGCAAAAAAAAUCCUCUUCUUAGCUUUUAUCACAAUCAUAUAGUUAAAUGUAUGGAAAGUUAAUAAUUUUUAAACAUAGAGAAGUAUGCAUAGACUUCAUAAGAUUACAAUAUAGAAUAAUAUUCUAUUGAGCUCAAACUAAACAACCAUGUACAAUCCAUUUAGCAAUACUAUGAAUAAAUCAAUAUAUCUUAAUAGUUUGCCAAAGGACUUAAUACAAAGCUUUGAAUAAAAGUCUGAAAUGAAACGAUAGGGACAACAUCCACUAGCUAUGUCAAAAGUACUAAGCUCGAAUUAUAGGUGUCGCAUCAUGUAACUCAAUAAGGCGUAAAGUCUGGAGAUCGGUGAUCCAAACCUCUUCAAUGAGUCUUCAAUCUGCACUCUGAAUUGCGCCAAUAAAGGAGUAAUAGUAUAGGGUUAGUACACACUUUUAAUAAGGAUGGUAUGUGCACAUAUACACAUAAGUACUAUGCAUGAUAAAGGAAAGCUCUUCCUACAACAAUAUGUCAUUUCUGGAAAGUGAAGUCAAUAGACUUUUCUAAUUUGUUAUUUGUGAUUUGUGGUAUGAUUAUGACGUAUUUUAAUGCAUUCAAAACACACAACUCAUUUUCUAUAUGAACAUAAUACCUAGAAUCAUGACUAUAAUUUUAGAACAACUCGAACGAAAUUUUGAAAUUUACUCCCACUUAACUUGGGAUCUCCUUCGCUAACACUUAGUUUAUUUUUUAGUAUUUUUAUUCUUAUUGAUGUGUAGUUAAAUGAUAUACUUUAAUCUUAUGUUUUUACAUAUAAGUGCAAGGAUUCAUUGUAUUCCCAUGCCUACAAUGAAUCAAGUAAGGAAUCUAAAAGAAUAGGGAAAUGAUUUAUCUACCCUUACUAUAGUUUAUUCUUUCCAUUCUUGUUAAAUUGGGCAUGAAAUCUUUAUAAGCCAAUAUGUAUUGGCUAGGCCACUUAUUUCAUGAUUUUCAUAUUAGGGAGAUUAUGUGGCAUUAAGUAGCCAUUACGUUUUACUAACCUUUAUUGGCAUAUCAUAAUAAGUCACUAUAAGCCAAUUAUUUAUUUGGCUGUGCCCAUUAUUUUAUCAUUUGCAUAACGUGAAGAUAUUGAAGCAUAAUUUUUUAACCACUGAUGGUUUGAUAUACUCAAGUUCUUACUUUUUUAGCGUACUUUUAACUUACAUAUCUUCUUCAUAUCUUCUUCAUUCUUUCUUACAUUCUUAAAGAAAUCUAUACAUUAUGAAUAUGUGAGCAAACAUGAAAUCCAGUGUCUGCCCCACAGUGAAAAAUGGUGGUUCACCUAUAAAAGUGAAUCUAGAUCAUGUUAGUUUAACAUGAAAUCCAUUGUCUGCACCACACCGAAAAGGGGUGAUUCAUCAGCUAAAGUAAAACAAUGUCUAGUGUCUUCCCCACACCGACAAUAGGUGGUUGACUUCUAAAGUGAACAGAAUACUUUCUUUAAUCAUUUAGCCGAUAUAGAUUAUAUUAACUAAGCAUGAAAUCUAGCCUAUGCCCCACACUAAAAAGGGGUAGUUUCACCGGCCAAACUGAUACCGCAUCAUACCUAGCUCUCUUAGGUUGAAUCCACUGGCUAGUUCUUAUGCUUGCAGCAUAAUUCAAUGACUAGGAGACAUAUGGAACUACUUAUCAACUUUGGUGGUAGUCUCAUCUCAUGAGGGUAACAUCUGCUUGCACAAGUUUAUUGCUAGUGCAUUGGUGCUUUGCUCAGCUUCUUUUUCUUUACAUCUUUUAGAGUUGACUCAAACAUUAUAAAAGCUUGCUUUUUACUUAUGAGGUUUACUUAACUCUUUGGAUAAUAGGUCAUACCUUCAUUUACUUGAUGAAAUCUGAAUUUAACCUUACAUUAUAAUCUUGAUGUUUAUGAGACUCGUCUUCCGAUUAUUAACACCUUUUUUGUGAGUAUAUUUAGCACAUUUGUCUAGGUGUUAGUGAGACAUGUCUCACUUCUUUUAACACCUCAUUCUGGUUACUUUCAUAAUUCUAAAUCUUUUAAUUAUGUUAUGACACACCUUAUCUUGUCCAAUGACAUUUGGUAGCUUGAUACAAUUUUUUAUGAAUGUUAUAUGCUUAGUUCAACAAAGUUAAAUUGGUCAUGGUUAAUUUGGUUUAAAUAAUUCAUUAGCAAAUUCUUUAUCAUAUCAUUGAAAUAAUAUUGUAAGCCAAUUCCAUUCCACUUUUUGGACAAUGUAUUGUUAGCCAAUUCAUUGGCAUAAACAAAACUUUCGAUUAAACAAUUUUCAUUAUGUUAUCAAUAGAAACAUCAAUUAAUCCUCUGAAUUUAUUAUAGUGAUCCCCCCAAUAUAAAGUCAAAUUUAACCAUUAAGCAUUACAUCCUUCUUUAUUUCAUAUAACUAAUACCCUAAUAUAUUGAAUCAAGUAUAUAGCCUCAUUAGUCAUUAACAAAUCAAGAACCUACACACAAUGAUCAGUUAGCACCACAUACCAAUAACAUAUUCGAGAUUACAUCUAUAUUCUUGUAGGAUCGAAAACAAGGAUAACUAGAGAGAUGGACGUUCAACAAUAUCAUUGGGAAUAACUCUAGUUUCAACAUUCAUGAAUUCAAAACAUUUAAAAGGCCUCUCCAAGAAAAAAUUCCAAGAGAGAAAACCCAUACUUUAUGUAGAAUUAAAACUACGAAGAUCACCUUGCACGAAAACUUUGAAGAAUACCUUCUUAUCGCCUAAGAGAGCUUAUUCUGUUUUCUAUGUUUUUGCACACUAUUUUUCUCACGAUUGCGUACUGUUUUAAGUCGUGAAUUCUGUAGUUGUUUUAACAUGAGCCUAAGUAUUAGGAACUGAUAUUGACUAAUUAAAUUUAGGCUAAUUAAGUUAGUAAAAUAAAUUAAUUAGUUAAUUGAUAAAAUGCCCUUUCUAGAUUGACUAAAAAUAGGAAACCAUUUAACUUAGUCAAAUCUAAAAAAAAAUUAUGAGUUUUUGCCUUGCUUGUAAAUUUUCCUUAGUUAAUUAAUUCCUUAAAUUAAUUAAUUAAGGGACCUAGGUUAAUUACUAAAUUACCCCUAAGACAUUGGGACCAUAACUAACUCUUUUGGACGAUCCGAGGUUAGGUACUAGGAUGUUUCUUGAACUAGUUAUUAAGUUAGUGUAACUCAAUUAAGUCUUGCGUUUUUGGGUGCACUCGAUAGUAUAUUUUUGUUUGUCCUAGGUUAGUUAGAUAGUUAGUUCAUUUAGUUAUAGACGAGAUUUUGUUAGAGAGUUAUUCCCCACAUGGGUGGACCUUUGCGCACGCCUUCCCCCUAACUUCCCUGAACGAAUUCGGUUAGGGUGGUCCCCUCCCUUAGCCAAUUUUCACAUGUGCUUGCACAUGUGUUAAUUGUAAUUUCCUUACAUAAUAUUCUUUAUGGUUCAUUUGGAGUGCUUACUAUCGUCCCAAAGAUCCUCACUAUUAUCUUGGGCACUACUUUUUGUCUACAUGCCCAUUAAAUUUGGACACAUGCUAUGGUGCCAAGGCUUGACACAUGGAUGCCUCGCACCUAAUGUGCAAAUGGUAGAAAACCUAUGUUUUUAGAUUUGGGACUUAAAGUAGGUAUACUUAUUGGACAAGCUUGUUAAUACAUAGAAAAUUUGCUAGCACCCUCUAAGACAAUAUUUCCUAAAUAUUGUGCACUUGGAUGUCGUUUACCCCCAAUACCUAUUCUUAAAACUUAAUAGGCUCUUCAUUAGACGUGUACAUUUUCUGGAAUAAUACGUUAUCCCCCCUUAGGAAUAUUCAUCCAAAAAUGAAAUUAUACAUCCUUUUAAACCAACGAGGGUAAUUUCGAAAACACAUUAUCUUACUUGAAACUUUACUCUUUGUAAAUUUGUUAUUCACAUUUACUCUGUAUGAUGCAUAUUACUCAUAGAUUAUCUGAAAUUUCAUGUUUGAGAUUGAGGAACUUCAUUCUUAAUCACAAUUAACUUAAUGCACAUCACAACUCAUGUAACACAAAAAUCAUGUCUACAGUUAGAAAAACCACAUCAUGAAUGCAAACAUGAACUCAUUUUAACUCAUAUUGUGCAAGUAUAAGAGACACGAUUAUGAACUUUAAAAUCAAAUCGGCAAAUGCAUUAACAAGUCAGUGUUUCAUAAAUAAAAACCAGACAUAGGAAGAGUAUAUCUGACCUAAAGAACUAAACAAGUUAGGGUAACGGGAUCUUAAUCGACUAGGUAAGACAUGAAGUUUUUAGCUGUUUGGUCUUAACUUGUUAGCAAUUUGGGAACACCUCUAAAACAUAGAAUAUCUCACUACAUACCUCCCAACCAAUAGAUCUCCUUGAGAUCAUGAUACAUCUUGACACUCAUUCACUAUGGACACUGAGUCUAUGGAAGGAACAUCAUGUUCUAAGUCAUCGACUCUUACUAAGUUGUAUAACUACCCCUUAGAUAACAUCUUAUUGGAUUUAAGAUGGGAAACUAUUUGACUUGUCGGAUUUUAACUACGCCCUUCCCAUUCCAACUCUAACUCAUUAGGAAACUGAAAUCUUACUACCCUGUUUAGAAAGACUAUGGUAGCAUAACAUCUAUGGAGCCAAUCCAUACCCAAAUUUAUAUCAAUGUCAACCAUUGUUAAUUUUAUUAGGUCAGCAUAGAUAACUCUAUCAAGAAUAGUUAUCUAGCAAAUCUCUAUAUACCCUUUCAGUUCUAAUGUUGUGUCUUAUGGUAGUACUUAAUAGAAAAGGUUCAUGCGAGAUCUCAGGAUGCAAGUCAAAUUUAUUAGUUACUAAAGGUGAAUCAAAAGACAAGGUGGAUCCAUGAUCUUACAAUGCAUGACCAGGAAGAGAAAAGACAAGCAAGUUACCAUUGACCACAUUAGUUGACUUUCCUUCUCCUAUCUACCUUUCAAAUCAUAAAACAGGUUCCUCUUAUGAGGCUUAGCUGUAGCAGUAGGAUUAGGAGGAGGCUGAGCAUUUGCUUUGGCCUGGUUCUUCACAUGUAGGCAGUCCCUAAUUAUAUCCCCACUCUUGUUGCACCCAUAGAAAGAAUUAGUACCUACCAAGAACUCACCUCCAUGCAUACGACAAAACUUACCACACGGCUCUCUGUCACGCUGGGCAUUUCUAUCAUUGCCUUUCUUGGAGUCAGACUUGUCUACCUCGGAGUUAGUGUUAUUAGAAGUUGUAAGAUUACCUGAAUGCUUGUGCCCCUUAUUGAACUUGGGCCUAUUCAAAACUAUAAUGAAAUUAUUACCAUUACUCGAAUCAUACUGAUCCGAGGACCUAGAUUUCUAUCUCUCUCGGUCUCUCUUUCUCCGACUACUUUCCUCAACCUUCUGUGCAUGUACCAUCAACCUACCAAGGUCCAUGUACUCAUGCAACAUAGCUACCCGACAUUCCUCCUCCAAAUCCUCUAACACACUAAUCUUCAUCUCAUCCCUUCUAUUGGACACAAGAGAAGGAACAUAUUUCGAGGGCUUAGUAAAUUUCAAGGAAUACUCCUUGGCUGACAUACCUUCAUGUCGUUGGUUAAUAAAUCUCAACCUUAGCCUCUCUUGGUUCCGUGGGAAAGAAUCUCUCUCGGAAUUCAAUCUUAAGAACGUCCCAAGUAAUGGGAACUUCUCCUGGUGCUCAGCCAUCUGGCCACAUCCUAUUCCACAACUGAGCCACAUCUUUGAGUUGGUACGAAGCCGACUCAGCCUUUUUCUCUCCAUUUACAUCAUAGCACAUAAAAUCUUAUGAACCUUAGCUACAAAUUUUUGAGGAUCCUCAUUGGUCUUGGACCCAUUUUAUAAUGGAGGAUUCAUUCUACUGAAGUCCCUCAGUCUGCUAGCCAUGGUGCUAGCAUGUGGGUUCUCCCUAUGAGCACCCUCAAUAGUGUCCUAGGCUGUGAUAGUCUUUGACGAAGUAGUGAUGGCUUGGUCAAUUUGAACUAGUUCUUCUCUUACUUAUCCAUCUGUCAACACAACUCGGUUGACAGACACUUGCAUCCAUUAGUAGGGGAUUGAGGCGGAGCUUGGUCGACUCCAAUAGCUGCUUCUUCGACUCUUCUGCAUGUGUUUCCCCUCAUGUUCAUUUUCUACACGUAUACACAAGAAGGAAGUAGUAAUUAGAAUGACAAAACAUGUCAAAGCUCUAUACAACACGAAAAAAAUAGAAGAAGGGAGGUUGCAUAUCAUCACUUAGUCUCUAAGUCAUGAUUGUGGUGCGAUUCACAACCAUAAGUUAGAAACUACAUAACAUGGUUGUUUUUACCUUUAGUUACUAGCUAAUUCAACGUCAUACUCUGAUACCAUGUUUCUCACACCCUAAUUCUUGAUUCUGGAUACAACCGUCGUCGUUAACCUCUUACAGGUGGCAGACAAACCUCUUCUUUGCUUUAAUAACAAUCAUAUAGUUAUAUUUGUGGAAAAUUUAAAACUUUUUAAACAUAGUGAAUUAUACAUAGGCUUCAUAAGAUUACUAUGUAUAAUCAUAUUCUAACGAGCUCUAACUUAAAAUCUUAAUAGUUUUCAUAACGGCCUUAGUACAAAGCUUUAAAUAAAAGUCUUAAAUGAAAGGCUAGGGAUAACAUCAACUAGCUAUGUCUAAAUUACUAAGCUAGAAUUAUAGGUGUAGCAUCCUCGUACUCAAGAGGACCUACCAAAGUAUGGAGAUCGCUAUUCCAAAUUACUUCAAUGAGUCUUCAAUAUGCUUUCAGACCCGCGCCAAUAAAAUAGUAAUAACAUAAGGUUAGUACACACCUGUAAUGAAUAUGGGUAUAUGCACAUAAGUUCUAUGCAUGAUCAAGGAAAACUCUUCCUAUAAAAACAGGCAAUUUCUUGAAAGUUAAGUAACUAGACUUUUCUUAUUCAUUAUUUGUGAAUUGUGGUAUGAAUAUGACAUAUUUUAAUGCAUUCAAAGAACACUAAUCAUUUUCUAUAUGAACAUAAGUGUUAUGCCUCGUAUUUUUUUUUAUACGUAGUGCGCAUCGUGAUCUAGAAGACGUAAAGAAAUAUUAGGCAAGGAUGUUAUUUCCAAAUGUGAUAUUAAGUAUGAGUUGGUUAAUAUAAGUGCCAUUAACUUUAAGUGAGGGAUUAAUUAGUGGCUAAUUUGGAUUGAUUUAAUCCAAUGGGCCCCACCACUCAAGGCAAAAAUUAAAAAGGGAUCAGAUUGUGGGCUGGCCUUAGUGGACAGGUGUAGAGGGGGGCUGCCUCCACUUCAUACUAUUAAAUGAGGUGGAGAAAUCCACUCCAUGCUAUAUAAAGUGGUGAAAUGCAUUGCUGCAUAUCAUCUUCUUCUUCACCACUUGUCUUAGGCAGCCAUGGAAAUGGAGAAACCAACCUUGCAACUCUUGGCCAGCAGCUGCAAAUAAUUUGGUUAGUAAUCUCCUUGUUUGGUGUGUUAAUUCUUUAGAAUACCCUUGUUAAUUAUCCAUUAAUUUUAAGAAGGGGGUGUGACCAGUAGCUUAGGAAGUUUGUUUUAGUUAUUGAAUGUGCUAAGUAUGAAUGGAAACCAUAAUCGGAUUAUUAGUGGUGUCAUGUUGGUGCUUGGGCUGUUUAUAUGAUUCUUUGGGUUAUAUGUGUUAUUGGUAUUGCUGUGGAUAAUUUGGAGUGUUGUCGGAUUGGGACGAAGUAAGGAAAAUAGGGGAGGUGCUGCCGAAUUUUCAUUAGAUUAUUAGCUAGCUUACAAGAAAGUAAAGCACGAUGUUUAUCUAAUUGCGGCAUGAUUGUUGCUUGUUAUAGAUUAAUAGCUUGAGCAGUAAAUAUUGGACGUGCGGCUAAAUUAUACGGUAUGUAACGUUGUCCCUUCUUUCUUUGCUUGGCAUGACUUUUAAAAAUAAGCGAAUAACGGACAGAUUUGAUACUUACCUCUAAAGCGUCUAGGUGAUGUAUAUUCUUGCUUCCACAAUUAUUCCUCUAUAUAUCGGUUAUGUCUAAGGCUAUGAUGAUCUCUAAUAUCUAUGGUAAUGCUUCUUAGAGUCAUUGAAAUUUUACGUUUUCAUAUCGUAUUAAAGGUUCAUAAUCUUGAUAAAACAUUAAUCUUUGGUAAUACUCCUUGCUGGUUCACGUUGAUUGUUCUAUUGAGUUAUAAGAAAUGAUUUUAAUUGCAUAUGGUUGCUCAUAAUAUUCUGCUCAUGCAUAGAGUCAUUUAUCAUUUCACCGAGUCUCGGGCCGGGUAAUGUUCGUGCGGAGUUUCUUGCAUAUGUCACCGAGUCCCUCACUAGAGGGCCGGGUAUGUAUAUUAUAUAUAUGAUUGGUGAUGAGGAUGGUUAUGAUGAUGAUGAUGACGGAGAUGACGUGAUGAUUAUUUUGCCGAGCCCCUUACUAGGGAAGCUGGGCACCUUAAAUGUUAAAUAUAUGCAUGAUUUUCACUUAAAAAGUAUAUGUGUAGCGAUAUUUUGUUUCGACUUGCCACAUUGGUAUCCUGUCAUCUUUACCUUAUGCUUUACAUACUCAGUACAUUGUCCGUACUGACCCCCCUUUCCUCGGGGGCUGCGUUUCAUGCCCGCAGGUGUAGACGCGCAGUUCGGUGAUCCUCCCGCCUAGGAUAUCUACUCUGCUGAUUGGGAGAGCUCCAAUGUUCCGGAGCCCAGUCGUUUUGGUACAUAACUUUUGUGUAGUCUUUUGCUCGUCUAGGGUAUGGCGGGGCCCUGUCCCGUCGAGUUUCACUAAUGUACUCUUAGAGGUCUGUGGACAUUAUGUGGGUUGUAUAUAUAUGUUUUGGAUAAUGGUCUGGACAUGGUUUGUUUGGGAUGUCCGCUUGUACAGGGGCAGCCUUGUCGGCUGCGUACAUCAUUAUGCUUUGAAUAGUGGCGGCCUUGUCGGCUCGCGUAUGCUGUUAUGGUUGAAUGGUUAUGACUCCUUAUGAGACAUGUCCUCUUAUAUAUAUAUAUGACGUUGGGGUUGGCUUGAUUUGAUUAAAUUCCAUAUUGUCUUAGUUUCAGUUGGUCAUACUUAGCAGGUUUGUAUGUGGGUGUCCAAAACGGGCACUAAUCACAGCCUAUCGGGUUGGGUCGUGACAAAGAGUGGUAUCAGAGCGGUUCUUCCUCGAAAGUGCCUACAGACCGUGUCUAGUAGAGUCUUGUUUAUCGGUGUGUUGUGCACCACAUCUAUAAACAGGAAGCUACAGGACAUUUAGGAUGUCAUUCUUUCUUCUUAUUCUAGAUCGUGCGAUAGAGCUAUAUUAACAGGAUAAUCCCUCUCUAACGAAUACAUGUGUUUUCAGCUAUGCCUCCAAAGAAAGCGGCAACCGCCCAGAAGGGAAAAUCGGUAGUAGAAGGUACUAGUCAGACCCGAAGAGUUACUAGGGCCCGUGCCCAGUCUAUGCCUAGUAUUAUGCUCCAGUCGGAGAGCUCUGCUACACCCCCACCGCCAGAAGAGCUUAGAGCAGCAGCAGCUCCAGUUCGGGGGACACCACCAGCCCCCGAGGCCCCAACAUCUGAACCUCCAGCUCCUCAGUCAGGGACGGAGGAUAGGGCCAUGAGAGAUGCGGUUCGAUUGCUGAUUAGAUUAGUGGCAGAUCAGGCUCGCAGGCAUGGACUAGGAGUUGAUCAUGCGGACAGAUCUGAUAGCUUAAGGGCUCGUGACUUCUUAAGUUGUAAUCCUCCAGAGUUCUUUGGGUCAAGGCCACAGGAUGAUCCGCAAGAGUUUAUUCGUCAGAUGCAGCGUACAUUGAGGAUAAUCAAGGCUUCGGAGACCGAGUCUGUUGAGUUGGCUACGUAUCGUUUGCGGGAUGUAGCUAUUAAUUGGUAUGAGUCUUGGGAGUUAUCUAGGGGUGAGGGUGCCCCUCCAGCGGUAUGGGAUGAAUUUGUGGAGGCUUUCCAGGGCCACUUCCUGCCUCCAGAGAUGAAGCGAGCUAGAGUCGAUAAAUUCUUGCGUUUGAAGCAAAAUGCAGGAGCGUUCGAGAGUAUAGCCUCGAGUUUGAUUCAUUGGCUAGGCAUGCGCCUACUAUUGUGGCUGAUAUGGCAGACAGGGUACAUCGUUAUGUGAUGGGAUUGGAUCGUUAUCUGAUUGACGGUUGUAUGGCAGUGACUCUUCAGCCAGGUAUGGACAUUGCUCGGGUGCAGGCAUAUGCACAGGGGGUAGAGGAUCGGCACCGAGGACGUCAGCCAGAUAGAGAUUAUAAUAGAGGCCAGCAUAAGAGGGCUAGAUCAGCAGGUUAUCCUGACGAGUUUCAAAGCGGGCAGUCUCAGCAGCAUGUUAGAUUUUCUUCCCAGCCAGCACAGAGUGCACCCCCACGUUUCAUGGGUAGGGGGUUCGAUCGUAUGGGAUAUUCGGAACCUGGUCAGAGCUCUAGGGCGUCAGGGUCACAGAUGGGCAGGGGUUUGAGCCAGUCGAGGCCACCUUUGCCUCGGUGUUCUCGUUGUGGUAAGUCCCAUCCUGGGGAAUGUCGUUGGGCUACAGGUGCGUGUUUUUCUUGCGGCCGUCAGGGCCAUACUAUGAGGGAGUGUCACCUUAGAGGUAGUGCAGGUGGUAUGGCACAGCCUAGAGGGUCCGUUACUGGUUCAUCUUCUUCUGUGGCUAUGCGCCCUACGGGGCAGGGUAUUCAGGCACCAGCAGGCCGUGGUAGAGGACGUGGUGGAGCUUCUAGUUCUAGCGGUCCCUCAAACCGUAUAUAUGCUUUGACUAAUAGGCAAGAUCAAGAGGCGUCACCUAAUGUGAUCACAGGUAUAUUAUCACUAUUCUCCCGAAGUGUGUAUGCAUUGAUAGACCCAGGUUCCACCUUAUCAUAUAUAUCUCCCUUUGUUGCUAGUAGGAUCGGAAUAGAGUCUGAGUUGAUAGAACCAUUUGAGGUAGCUACACCUGUAGGAGAUUUUGUCAUAGCUACGCGAGUAUAUAGGAAUUGUUCAGUAGCUAUAUAUAGUCGUCAUACCGUAGCAGAUCUAAUAGAGUUAAAUAUGAUUGAGUUUGAUAUUAUCAUGGGCAUGGAUUGGUUGGCUGCUUGUUAUGCUAAUGUUGAUUGCAGAGAAAAGAUAGUUCGAUUUCAAUUUCCAGGGGAACCGAUUAUAGAGUGGAAGGGAAGUACAGUAUCGCCGAAAAGUAAGUUCAUUUCAUACCUCAAGGCCGGGAAGAUGGUUAGAAAAGGCUAUAUUUACCAUCUGAUUCGGGUGUAUGACAUAAAGGCAGAGGCACCGACUCUUCAAUUAGUCCCGGUAGUUAAUGAAUUUCCUGAUGUAUUCCCCGAGGAACUUCCAGGCCUUCCUCCAGAACGGGAGAUAGAGUUUACUAUAGAUGUACUGCCAGAUACCCAGCCUAUAUCUAUACCUCCUUAUAGAAUGGCACCUGCUGAGUUGAAAGAAUUGAAAGAGCAAUUGAGGGAUUUGCUAGAAAAGGGCUUCAUCAGGCCUAGUACGUCACCUUGAGGAGCACCAGUACUGUUUGUGAGGAAGAAGGAUGGGUCGCUGCGGAUGUGCAUUGAUUAUAGGCAGUUGAACAAAGUAACAAUAAAGAACAGGUAUCCCCUCCCAAGGAUUGACGAUCUAUUUGACCAGUUGCAGGGUGCAAAGUGUUUUUCAAAGAUAGACUUGCGGUCAGGUUAUCAUCAGGUGCGGGUAAGGGAGGAAGAUAUUCCAAAGACAGCAUUCCGAACCCGAUAUGGACAUUAUGAUUUUAGAGUGCUGUCUUUUGGGCUGACUAAUGCUCCAGCGGUAUUCAUGGAUUUAAUGAAUCGAGUAUUUAAACCAUUCCUUGAUAUGUUUGUUAUUGUAUUUAUAGACGAUAUUCUGGUCUAUUCACGUUCAGAAGAGGAGCAUGCAGAUCAUUUAAGGACGGUACUUAGGGUGCUUCAGCACCAGAAGUUGUAUGCUAAAUUUUCUAAGUGCGAGUUCUGGUUGACUUCAGUGGCAUUCUUGGGGCAUAUUAUUGGAGCUGAUGGUAUUCGGGUAGAUACGCAGAAGAUUGAGGCAGUAAAGACUUGGCCCAGACCUACGACACCUACUGAGGUACGCAGCUUUUUGGGGUUAGCAGGAUAUUACAGGAGAUUCGUAGAAAAGUUUGCCUCAAUUUCAGUGCCUUUGACAAGGCUAACUCAAAAGGCAGCCAAGUUCCAGUGGACAGAUGCUUGUGAGCGAAGCUUCCAGCUAUUGAAAGACAAAUUGACUACAGCUCCAGUCCUAACUCUUCCAGAGGGACCAGACGGCUAUGUUAUUUAUUGUGAUGCUUCGGGUGUUGGGCUAGGAUGUGUAUUGAUGCAGCAUGGCAAAGUUAUAGCCUAUGCCUCCCGACAACUUAGGAAGCAUGAAAAGAACUAUCCUACUCACGAUCUGGAGUUAGCGGUCGUGGUUCAUGCCUUGAAGAUAUGGAGACAUUAUUUAUAUGGUGUCCAUGUGGACAUCUAUACAGAUCAUAAGAGUCUCCAAUAUAUCUUUAAACAGAAGGAGCUGAACUUACGACAGAGGCGGUGGUUAGAGUUGCUAAAGGAUUAUGAUGUUGAUAUUUUAUAUCAUCCAGGGAAAGCGAAUGUUGUAGCAGAUGCUCUUAGCCGUAAGUCCAUGGGUAGCUUGACAGAUGUACAACCAGAAAGGAGGGAUAUGGUUCGGGAGAUUCAGCGGCUAUCCAGCCUUGGAGUCCGUCUAGCUAAUUCGGAAGAUAGUGGAGUUUCUAUUCGAGAGGUUGCUGAGUCCUCAAUCAUAGAUGAGGUAAAGCGACACCAAUACAAGGACCCUAUUCUGGAACAGUAUAGAGAUGCAGCUCUUCAAAAGGAAAAGACCCCAUUUAAGGUUACACCUGAUGGAGUGUUACAAUAUGAAGGCAGAUUGUGUGUACCCGAUACUGCGGGGCUACGACGGCAAGUUAUGGGAGAGGCACACUCUGCCCGUUAUUCUAUUCACCCAGGGUCAACAAAAAUGUAUCAUGACCUCAGAUGCUUAUAUUGGUGGGAUGGCAUGAAAAAGGACAUAGCAGAGUUUGUUGCUCAGUGCCCAAAUUGUCAACAAGUUAAGAUCGAACAUCAAAAGCCUGGUGGAUUAUUACAGGAGAUAGAGAUCCCGACUUGGAAAUGGGAAAUGAUUAAUAUGGACUUCAUUACAGGCUUACCUCGCACUCAACGGAAGUAUGACUCUAUAUGAGUUAUUGUAGAUAGGCUGACGAAAUCGGCCCAUUUUCUUCCAGUCAGGACUACUUAUUCGGCUGAAGAUUAUGCGAGGUUAUAUGUCAGGGAGAUAGUGAGACUUCAUGGGGUUCCCACGUCCAUUAUAUCAGACAGAGGAGCUCAAUUUACAGCCAACUUUUGGAGAUCGUUUCAGAAGGGAUUGGGGACACAGGUGAACCUUAGCACAGCAUUUCACCCUCAGACUGAUGGGCAGGCUGAGCGUACUAUUCAGACACUAGAAGAUAUGUUGCGGGCCUGUAUUAUUGACUUCAAAGGAAGCUGGGAUGACCACUUGCCGCUCAUUGAGUUUGCCUAUAAUAAUAGCUACCAUUCUAGUAUCCAGAUGGCACCGUACGAGGCCUUAUAUGGGAGGAAGUGCAGAUCACCUAUUGGUGGUUUGAUGUUGGCGAGACUAAGUUAAUAGGCCCGGAUGUGAUUCAGCAAGCUGUUGACAAGGUGAAGCUUAUUCAAGAAAGAUUAUUAGCAGCCCAGAGUCGACAGAAGUCAUAUGAAGAUAAUCGGCGUCGAGAUUUGGAGUUUCAGAUUGGUGACUGGGUAUUCCUGAAGGUAUCACCCAUGAGGGGUGUGAUGAGAUUCGGCAGGAAGGGGAAGCUCAGUCCGAGAUACAUUGGGCCUUAUCAGAUUGUUCGUAGGAUAGGCAAGGUUUCCUAUGAGUUGGAUCUACCAUCUGAUUUGGAGGCGGUACAUCCAGUCUUCCAUGUAUCGAUGCUACGUAAAUGUAUUGGUGAUCCUUCUAGAGUAUUCCCUGUAGAUGAUAUUCAGGUAACAGAGGAGUUGUCAUAUGAGGAGAAACCCGUGGCUAUACUUGAUCGUCAGGUUAGAAGGUUACGUACUAAGGAUGUGGCUUCCGUCAAAGUGUUGUGGCAAAAUAACAAUAGGGAGGAGAUGACUUGGGAAGCGGAAGACGAAAUGAAAAAUAAGUAUCCUUACUUGUUCCCCGUACCUGCAGGUAAUUCAAUUCCUAGCUUGACUAUAUUGAUAGAUAAUGAGAUUAUGUAGCUGUGAGGCAUCUGUAAGUUACGGAAUGCAGGUUGAUAGGUAUAACUUUUAGAGAGACCUCGCUGGAAUUUGUUUUUGCAAGACGCUAACUUAACAUUCGAGGACGAAUGUUCCUAAGGGGGGAAGGAUGUUAUGCCUCGUAUUUUUUUAUACGUAGUGCGCAUCGUGAUCUAGAAGACGUAAAGAAAUAUUAGGCAAGGAUGUUAUUUCCAAAUGUGAUAUUAAGUAUGAGUUGGUUAAUGUAAGUGCCAUUAACUUUAAGUGAGGGAUUAAUUAGUGGCUAAUUUGGAUUGAUUUAAUCCAAUGGGCCCCACCACUCAAGGCAAAAAUUAAAAAGGGAUCAGAUUGUGGGCUGGCCUUAGUGGACAGGUGUAGAGGGGGGCUGCCUCCACUUCAUACUAUUAAAUGAGGUGGAGAAAUCCACUCCAUGCUAUAUAAAGUGGUGAAAUGCAUUGCUGCAUAUCAUCUUCUUCUUCACCACUUGUCUUAGGCAGCCAUGGAAAUGGAGAAACCAACCCUGCAACUCUUGGCCAGCAGCUGCAAAUAAUUUGGUUAGUAAUCUCCUUGUUUGGUGUGUUAAUUCUUUAGAAUACCCUUGUUAAUUAUCCAUUAAUUUUAAGAAGGGGGCGUGACCAGUAGCUUAGGAAGUUUGUUUUAGUUAUUGAAUGUGCUAAGUAUGAAUGGAAACCAUAAUCGGAUUAUUAGUGGUGUCAUGUUGGUGCUUGGGCUGUUUAUAUGAUUCUUUGGGUUAUAUGUGUUAUUGGUAUUGCUGUGGAUAAUUUGGAUUGUUGUCAGAUUGGGACGAAGUAAGGAAAAUAGGGGAGGUGCUGCCGAAUUUUCGUUAGAUUAUUAGCUAGCUUACAAGAAAGUAAAGCACGAUGUUUAUCUAAUUGCGGCACGAUUGUUGCUUGUUAUAGAUUAAUAGCUUGAGCAGUAAAUAUUGGACGUGCGGCUCAAUUAUACGGUAUGUAACGCUGUCCCUUCUUUCUUUGCUUGGCAUGACUUUUAAAAAUAAGCGAAUAACGGACAGAUUUGAUACUUACCUCUAAAGCGUCUAGGUGAUGUAUAUUCUUGCUUCCAUAAUUAUUCCUCUAUAUAUCGGUUAUGUCUAAGGCUAUGAUGAUCUCUAAUAUCUAUGGUAAUGCUUCUUAGAGUCAUUGAAAUUUUACGUUUUCAUAUCGUAUUAAAGGUUCAUAAUCUUGAUAAAACAUUAAUCUUUGGUAAUACUCCUUGCUGGUUCACGUUGAUUGUUCUAUUGAGUUAUAAGAAAUGAUUUUAAUUGCAUAUGGUUGCUCAUAAUAUUCUGCUCGUGCAUAGAGUCAUUUAUCAUUUCACCGAGUCCCGGGCCGGGUAAUGUUCGUGCGGAGUUUCUUGCAUAUGUCACCGAGUCCCUCACUAGAGGGCCGGGUAUGUAUAUUAUAUAUAUGAUUGGUGAUGAGGAUGGUUAUGAUGAUGAUGAUGACGGAGAUGACGUGAUGAUUAUUU